rnacentral:rRNA from 1 species
GACGAACGCUGGCGGCGUGCUUAACACAUGCAAGUCGAACGGAAAGGCCCUGCUUUUGUGGGGUGCUCGAGUGGCGAACGGGUGAGUAACACGUGAGUAACCUGCCCUUGACUUUGGGAUAACUUUAGGAAACUGGGGCUAAUACCGGAUAGGAGCUCUUGCUGCAUGGUGGGGGUUGGAAAGUUUCGGCGGUUGGGGAUGGACUCGCGGCUUAUCAGCUUGUUGGUGGGGUAGUGGCUUACCAAGGCUUUGACGGGUAGCCGGCCUGAGAGGGUGACCGGCCACAUUGGGACUGAGAUACGGCCCAGACUCCUACGGGAGGCAGCAGUGGGGAAUAUUGCACAAUGGGCGGAAGCCUGAUGCAGCAACGCCGCGUGCGGGAUGACGGCCUUCGGGUUGUAAACCGCUUUCGCCUGUGACGAAGCGUGAGUGACGGUAAUGGGUAAAGAAGCACCGGCUAACUACGUG